AUCGAAACUAGAGACAGAAUUGUUGGAACCAAAAACCAAGGUACUUUCGAGAAUGUAUACCUUGCUGCUUAAAUGGAACACUCAGGAUGAGACAGUCAAAUCAGCCAUGAUAAAAUGGGCUCAGGACAUUGGGUACAACAUUAUGUUUGAAGACUGGGAAAGGUUAUGGACCACUGGUAUGAAAUUCACGGCAUGUAAUGCCUUGAAAGAGAAUAUUAUGAAAAUGAUAUACAGGUGGUACAUGACCCCAGUCAAGCUUGCUAAGAUAUAUCAUUUGUCUGAUAAUAAAUGUUGGAAAUGUAAGGAGGCUGAAGGGACAUUCUUUCACCUCUGGUGGACUUGCCCAAAAGUGAAGGCCUUCUGGGAAA